ensembl:lncRNA
UCAGUAAGAGGCAGCGAUGGCACUGGGGCACCAUUUGGCAUGGAGCAUCCCAGUGUGUCCCAGCGUGGAUGUGGCUAGGAGUAAACUUUGCUUUGGCUGGGAUCUUGAUGCUAAAGUCUUCCCAAGUCCUGCAACCAUAGGAUAACGUCACUGCUGUGUGAUGGUCACGGUACUCUGCAUCUCUCUGAGCCAGAGUGAUGCCGGUUUCUGCUACUUGGUGUUUAGCACCUGGCUGCUGGGAAGGCAAAGAGCAGAGGUGCUGCCCACCCUGGGGGAAGGUGAUGUCCCAUCAGAGGUGUCCAGAACCUCUUAGCCACCCCAAGCAGCAGCUGGCAGUCUGGGCAGUGCUGGAGCAGGCUGCAGGGCUGUACUGAGCUUUUGCUCUCCCUCCCCAAAUCUCUGAAGUUUUUUUUUUUUUACUUUUUAAGCAGCAGGUUCUGUCUGGAGCUGGUUUAGAGGAUUAAGAUCCCUGAGUACGUGCUGCUCUGGUGCGGUAUGGGGUAUGGGAAGGCUGCACGCCAGGCUGCUGCCCUAUAGCAGCUCAUGACUGGGGACAGAGAGCUGUGGGGCUGCUCUUGCCCUUGGCCACGUGAGCAGCCUGGCUGGCACUGUAUGAUUAAAUUAGUUUCUAGGAGAACAAAUCCAGGAUUAGAGGAGCCAUUUGCCGUGCUGAAAGCGGAGCCCUGCUAAUUAGGUUUAUGGCCAACAGUGGAGGCUCAAGGUGCACCUGAGAGGAGAGCUGAGGCGCUGCAGCAGGAACAGCCACCAGCACAUCGCUGCGGAUGGGAGGGAGGAAGGGCAGAGGCAGCACAGUGCCCAGCAGCCCUCAGGGAUCGGGGUGCACCCGGGGUCAUCCUGUGCUCCUUCCCCCAGCGCUGACAUGGGAACGGCCCCAGUGCAGCCACCCACCGCCGCUCGCUGUGAUCCAGGGUCCUGAGCUGACCUCGCUCUGCUGCACCCACGCAGGGCAGGGAUGGCUGAAUUACUGCUCCCUGCUGCGCUCUGUACAUCCUCCUCCUGGCCGGGUGGCCUCAGGAUCUGUGGGGCUGGAUGGCUGCGUGCUCUCAGGUCAAACAGUAGCUCCAUUUUUUCCCUUGUGAAGGACCAAGAGCUUGCCCUGGUUCCAAGGAAGUAGCUGUGGAUUUUAAUUUAAUUUUAUUUUUUCCCUCCUCCGUUCUUCUUUCUGAAUCUUUUUGGGAUUUUGGGCUCUUAAUGAGGAUGCUUGGACCAGCACAGGGUGCAGCCCCAUGCAGAGGGGUGAACGCCUCUGGAGAAGCAAUGGGAGCAGCACACCAAGAGCUGGCAACCGCAGUGCCUUGGGUCUGAAACUGGGAGCUGUGUCCCUUCACAUCGCAUGGCUGCAUCCUCCCCAGCACAUCCCAUAGGGAUUAGGUGGGAUUCUGGGGGGCGCAAGGCCAAACCGCAGUGAGGGGAACGUCAAGAAGGGAAAAAUGUCACCCUCAGAAACAAUUAAACUGCUUAAUAAAAUCCGUUGCCUCUCGGAGUGCUCGCUGUUCUUUUCCGUUUGCCUUGGCUCAGCCACACUUACAUCAUGGCCCUAUCGCGGUGCUGCCGAGUGGACGGGUUUGAUUGCACAGGAAACCGGCGCUUUGGCAAACUUCUCUGCCCCGGUAAAGCCAGGCCAAGAGCUUAAUGCCUUUGCUUUGCAGAAAAAAAUCUUCCCUGUCCUUUCCCUCUUUCCUUUCUGCAACCCCUUAACCAUCACCCGCCAACUAGGCGGCCACCCCUCACAUGCCUCCUGCUCCAAAGCGCCUGAGAUGCAGAUUAAUUCCCCUUAAAUCAUGUUGUUUCACGUCCGUGGACCGUGUGUCCCCUCCCACCCUGUAGAGCUGAAGCACUGGAAGGUGCUGUGUGGAAACUGCAACGUUAAAAAAGGAUAUUUAUGUAAUGGAAAUGUCCUUUGAUUUUUUUUUUUUUAAGAGUUAUGCCUUCAUUACAAAAAAACUAAGGAUGUUCUUUCAUCUAAAAAGCACCGUAGCCUUGGGCACGUGUAUGAAUGUGUUGGGUGUUCAGCUGUGGUGAGUGAGUGACUUGUGGUCUUGAUAUUGAGCUGGUGGUGUGACUGCUGUGCUCCACUGGGACAGCAGGACCUUGGUCAGGAACGUGGAGUCCUGGGCCCUUUCCUUUGGAACCAUUGCUAGAGUGUUUUAAGAACCAUGUACUGCCCUUGGGAAAACUAUGGCAGAACAACAAAGCCCAGAAACAUGUGGACAUCGCUUGGUGUUUGGUUUGGUGACGAUGGGUAAAUGGUGAUGUCAAAUCCAUUGUCACUGAUUAAGUGUCCUUGGAGGCAGAAGCCAAGGUGAUGCUCAGCCCUUUGCCAGUGCUCGUGUUUGAGGUGGGACUGAUGCUCUUUUCUCCUCCUGGUGGAGUGGAGCCAUGCCUCAUGGAGCAGUGAGCAGGUACUUCGGGCAAAUGACAGCAUUCCCAUCCAUGAGCCAAACCUGAUGGCACACCGGGGACACCGUUCUUCCUUGGCCAAGAAGAACUGCACCGUGGCAUGGCCAACAUGUGUCCACAUUCCUCUGCAGUAGGAUGCAAACCACUGGCACUGCUGCUGGAGGACAUCUGCUUUUGGGAUCCUUUCUCACAGCUCUUCCCUGCCAAAGCUGCCCCUAUUAGCCCAAGACUGAAUGGGUGCUGCCUUCCUCCCGCCCUGCUCUGGGGAUGGAUGGCAGCUCCCAGACACGGACCCUUCCGAGUUCAUAACUAAUAUUGACUUCAAAGGCUGUUUGCCUUCAGUGUCGGUCAGUUGUGUAAUCCUGGCUUGUUUAGAGAUGGCGAGCAAACAGAGAGCCAGGCCGUUAAAAGGGGAAGGGCGUGGGAGAUGUAUUGCUAUUUUCCUGUGGAACCGGGAGGAAAACUUGCCUGUCAUUCUCGCUAAUAAAUACAAACUGGAAGCAUGGAUAAACCCAAGGGGAUUUAUUAGUUUGCUUUACCAAACG